AUGCAUGAAUAUAUCGAUGAGUUGAAAGACCCUCUGCGCUUCGGCCAGGUUGACUUGACAACAUCUGAGCUCAUAAAAUCCACCAAGAAGCUUCUAUGCGAGAGCCGAGGCAAAAUCGGCCUUGUAGGCUUGGCCCUCUUCUUUGCACGCAACCUGGCACAUCCAAAUUCUGAGUGGUGGAAAACUGGACCUCAAAAUCCUAGUCCACCUUGGGAUGAAGAACCGGAAGAAGAAGAGGAAAUUGAGCUAGAAGAUCUUGACUCUCUUGGCCGCCUCUUUAAUGAACUUGCUAACGCCACCACGUCACAGGAAAAUACUGGGACCAGUCGAGCCAAGGAGACUGAGAAAACGCAACACGAGGCCGGCUUGAAAAGGAAGACCCGGGCCAGUUCUGGCGAGUUGUUAGAUGGUCUAUCAUACCAGCCUUCUCCGCACCAUGUUAGGACUCAAGAGAAUCCCAACCCGGUGACAUCUUGCCCGAGGGCGGGUCAAAUCAAGAUACCGUUGAGUCAUUCUGACCCGGAUUACCAUACGACUUCACUGUCUUCUGAUGAAUCUUGCUCCAACCAAGUGUCGCCUUUUAAUAUCAAUCGUGGGAACUGA
rnacentral:rRNA from 1 species